GUAAAAUCGUAGCGUCGGUCACUAAUCCUCCAUCAAUAAUAUAUGAUGACUAGACUACAGUCACUGCGUGGUGGUGGCCAUGACGUAUAUGAGUAUUUGAGAGGAAGGGGGAGGGGAAAGAAAAACAUUUCAUUGAAAUCAUUAUUUAUGUACACGCACACACAAUCUAUCUAUACAAAGUAUAUAAAAAGCCAACAGAAUAAGCUUGAAGUCUUUAAAGUUUUAACUGGAUUUGGCAAUCGCUCAAAAAUUUAAAAGAAAAUUGGGAUUGUUGCUGAAAAUUUAUCUGAAAUUUUCGUCAUCCUUUAACUUGAAGGAAGGGAGAAAAAGCACUAAUGAACUUAGUUAAUUCCCUAUCAUGCAGCUUAACGUCAAUGCUGUAAAUCAUCGUGGCUUAUGCUGAUUAACCUGGAAGGAACAACAAGUCAAUCGUAUAAAUACAGUGCGACGUCAAUGCAAAAUCACAUUAAUUGAGGAAUAAAUGAUGAACUAACAGAUAGUUCUUAGAUAAUUUCUAAGUCGACGAAAUCUCCUUGAAAAGAACUUGAGCAAGGGGGUUUCUGGAACAGGUAUCAGUUUGCCAACAAAUGCAAGCGGCCAGCUAGUUUAAGAAGAAAAAGUGGACUUGACAUCAGUAGUUAAACAGAGAAUAUAUAUGCACAUGUAGAUUGCACGAUUUUUAAAUGGUAAUGUAACGUACUGAAUGAUUCACUUUUCACAAGAAAACAAUGGAUUUAAUACUCCAUUCAUGUAGAUCAUGCACACCAAGUUUAAGCUUCAAGCCAAUCAGAUAUUUAUCGAUUUUAAUCUAAAAUUGAAAUUUUUACCCAAAACAAGUAUGGAUAAUAUUACUGUAACGUAUAUUAAAUAAUUAUCCAUUACUGAUUGGCGUAAAAAUUAGUAUGUAAGAACUGCAUGAAUAGAAUAUUAAGCCUAAUAAUUGGUUCACUGAAAAAAGUACAUAAAAAGCUAAAGAGACUGAAUUGAGGGAAUUAUAUCAGCUAGUCUUACACGCAUACAGAGAAAUAUAUAUGACACCAUCCAAAAGGAACAGAGUUUUACUCUGUUGAUGCUCAUGGAAAUCUUCCAAUUAAGGACUGCAGUUACUGACCUCAUAAAACCAAUAGCAACUGAAAUCAGCCAUUGCUUCCAGUUAAGCCCCACUGUUGAAGUAAACUUUCCAUUGAACUCAACUAUAAUAAACUGAAGAAUUAUUUCUACUGCAGCUAUCCCCAUGAACCAAUGAUUUUUUGUGAUUCCUUUAAAAAUAUUCUUUUCAUCUGGUUUUCGGGCAUUAAAUUCAUUGAAGAUUUGACAAAGCACAAAUGCAUUGAACAUUAUGGUAUGGUUCACUUUGUUUGCACGUUCAGCACUUUGAUGCUGCAGGCCUAAUAAACUCCUCCCUCGGAAAGCUAGGACAAGCACUACACUUGCCUGAUAAAUUGUCUGAACUUUCCAAAUGAAAUUAAUAGCGAGCAUGUAAUUAAAAUGAAUGAAAAUACAUCUAGUAUAGAAGAUGAGCACUUAAAAUAGAGAUAUGUAUUCUAUGUACCUGUAUCAGAAGGUUCCUCCACAUGAUAUUUGUU
rnacentral:misc_RNA from 1 species